rnacentral:RNase_P_RNA from 1 species
AGAGUAGGCCGUGCGGCCGCGGGGUCAUCCCCGAGGAAAGUCCGAACUCCACAGGGCAGGGUGCUGGGUAACACCCAGUGAGGGCGACCUCAAGGAAAGUGCCACAGAAAACACACAGCGGUUUUUCCGCGAAGGUGAAAAGGUGAGGUAAGAGCUCACCAGCAACUGGGUGACCAGCUGGCUUGGCAAACCCCACCCGGAGCAAGAUCGAAUAGGAAGGAUAGAGUGGCCCGCUCCUUUGGCCUUCGGGUAGAUCGCUUGAGGAGCAGGGUAACCUGCUCCCUAGAGAGAUGGCCGCACCCUUUCUCAGGAAAGGGACAGAAUUCGGCUUAUAGGCCUGCUCUCGUU